rnacentral:rRNA from 1 species
UACGUAGGUGGCAAGCGUUGUCCGGAUUUAUUGGGUUUAAAGGGUGCGUAGGCGGCCUUAUAAGUCAGUGCUGAAAUAUCCCGGCUUAACCGGGAGGGUGGCAUUGAUACUGUUAGGCUUGAGUACAGAUGAAGUAGGCGGAAUUGACGGUGUAGCGGUGAAAUGCAUAGAUAUCGUCAAGAACACCGAUAGCGAAGGCAGCUUACUAAGUUGUAACUGACGCUGAUGCACGAAAGUGUGGGGAUCAAAC